GUGCUCGCUUUGGCAGCACGUACACUAAAAUUGGAAUGAUACAGAGAUUAGCAUGGCCCCUGCGCAAGGAUGACACACAAAUUUGUGAAGUGUUCCAUAUUAAA
rnacentral:snRNA from 1 species